GUACUAAGGAAAAGAGAAAAUGGAGGAGGGCAAUUACCAAAACAAGAAAUCAUCUAAUAAAACAUGAUCCACAGAACAGGAAGCCUGAUUUCUCUUGUCAAGUCACUAAACAGGCAAGAGCCUUCUCAGAUAUGUCCUGAACACCUUCUCUUUGCCUGACAAGUUCAAGAAAUUAAGUCAAAUAAGUAUUUGAUGGAAAUCUACCUGGCUCCAAAGACUGGGCUUCUAACAAUCCUCUCCACAACGUUUGAAUACAAAAAAAGUAUCCUGCUAAAGGACAAAGCCCCUCCAUCUCUUCCCGCCAAGCUCUCUGCGUGCCUGGUGAGAGGUAUAGCACUUUUGCUUUCUUUUUCAAUUUGCUCUUUAAAUGAGUGACAAUAUCACCUAGUGAUUAAGGACCUGCCUGGAGCUGGGCUGAUGCUUGGAGUUGGGCUGAACCUGAGCCUGAAUUCGAGCUCUUCUUCUUCUUGCUGACUUUGACCCUAGGUGAGUUAAUUUUUCUAAGCUUCAGUUUCUUGGUCUAUAAAAAGGAGGAUGAUAAUUCUUUUCUCACUCAGUAUUGUUUUAAAGAUUAGUAAGAUAAUAUAUGCAACGCAUUUAGCACAGUGCCUUGCACAUGAUAAACCCUGAAUAAAUGGUAGCCAGUUUUAAAAUACAACAUAAUUUUAAGCGUUGGUAUUUCUUAUGACUCCAAUCUCAUCCCUCCUUUUCCAUUGUCACUACAUUUGCUCUGUGUCUCCCAUAUCGAAUCUGGAACUUGCAUUCAAAGCCUUUAUCUCUCAGUGCCAAAAGAGUAGCCCCUCAUGGAUGAACAAAGGUACUCAAAUUCAACAUGCCCAGAAUUAAACCCAGUAAAUGGGGAUUCAGUCACAACCCCAGUCUAUCCACCUAAGGGACAAAGUCCUGGCAGUCACCUAAGACUCCUCAUUAUCUUCAACCCCCAUCCCUGAUCAGUCACCCUAUUGGUUCUAACUUAUAAUAUUCAUUUAUUUUAUCACUACUGCCACAACCUGGGGUCAGACAUCAAACUUCUCUAUUCUGCCCCAUUGUUACCUCUUGACUACAAUCUCUGCCUCAAAUCUAAUCUGACCUCAUUCCUCUAUCUACUCUGCUAUGAAAGAGAUUACAGUUACACAUAUCUAAUUUUAUUACCUUUCCAUAUAAUGGUUCUCCAUUCUCCUGUGGGGUGCAUACAGUUUAGGGAACAUAAAAGUAUUCACUGGGAGCUAAGAAGAAAAUACCAUUUUUUUUUAAAAUUUUAUUUUAACAAUUAUUUUGAAUAUAUUUAAAAGUAUUUAUUUAUAAUGUAUGUGAUAUAGUAGUAAAGUAAAGUAAUACAUAUGAGUGAUGGUUAAUUUUAAGUGUGUCUCUGGCUAGGCCACAGUGCCCAGAUAUUUGAUCAAAAAUGUAUGAAUGUUACUCUGAAGAUAUUUUUUUAGAUCAAAUUAACAUCUAGGGGAGUACCCAUUGUGGCUCAGUGGAAAUGCCUCCAACUAGUAACCACGAGGGUACAGGUUGGAUCCCUGGCCUUGCUCAGUGGGGAGCUGUAGUGUAGGUCACAGAUGUGGCUCAGAUCCUGAGUUGCUGUGGCUGUGGUAUAGGCCAGCAGCUGUAGCUCCAAUUCAACCCCUAGCCUGGGAACUUCCAUAUGCCGCAAGUGUGGCCCUAAAAAACACAAUAAAAUAAUAUAAACAUCUAAAUCAAUAGAUUUGUAGUAAAGCAGAUUACCCUCCAUAAUGUGGGUGGGCCUCUAUCAAUCAGUUGAAAGCUUCAAGAUAAAGACUGACUUCUCCCAAAGGAGGGAGAAUUUUGCCAGCAGGUUGCUAAAGGUUGCUAAAAUAUCAAAUCGUUGCUAGUAUCUAACUUACAGUCUACCCUGCAGAUUUUGGACUUGCCAGCCUCCACAAUCAUGUGAGUCAAUUCCUAAAAAUAAAUCUCUCUCUCUAUCUCUCUCUCCCUCUCUCUCUCUCUCUCUCUCGAGUGUGUGUGUGUGUGUGUGUGCGUGUGUGUGUGUGUGUGUGUAUCCUUUUGGUUCUGUCUCUCUGAAGAAGCUUGACUACUACAGUAAUUUUAAAAUGUAUAUAAUAUGUUCAAAAGUUUUUCAGAACCAAUGUUGUAAAGCUUUUUUUUCCAUAGUUUUUCACUAGGAGUUUUAGAAUUUCAGGUCUUCCAUUUAAGUCUGUUAUCCAUUUUGAAUUGAUUUUUGUAUAUGUUGUAACAUGAGGUCUAGUGUCACUCUUUUUUGCAUGUAAAUUUCCAGAUUUCCAACACCGUUUGUUGAAGAGACUAUCUUUUCCCCAUUUUGUACUCUUGACAAAAACCAGUUGACCACAUGGGCACACAUUUAUUUCUGGGCUCUCUGUUUGGUUCCACUGGUUUGUAUGUUGGUCUUUAUGCCAGUAUAUACUAAUUUGAUUAUGGUAGCUUUGUAGUGUAUUUCAAAAUAAGGAAAUAUGAUGCCUCCAGGCUUGUUCUCUUUCAAGAUUGUUUGAGCUAUUCAUAUAUUUUGUGGGUUCAUAUAGAUUUAGAAAUGUCAUUGGGAUUUUGAUAUGGAAUGUGUUGUGUUGAAUUUGUAGAUUGCUUUGGGCAACAUGGACAUUUUAACAAUAUUAAAUCUUACAAACCAUGAAUACAGGUUUUCAUUUGUUUGUGGUCUUUAAUUUCUCGUAUCAGUGUUUUGUACUUUUUAUUAUAGAAGCGUUUUGCCUCCAUAGUUGUUUAUCCCUAAGUAAUUUAUUCUUUUUGAUGCUAUUUUAAAUGGAAUUGUCAUCCUAAUUUCCUUUCAAGGUGCUUUGUUGUUAGUGUAUAGAGAUGCAAUUGAUUUUCAUAUAUUGAUUUUUUUUUUAUCUUGCAACUUGAUUAAAUGUAUUUAUUAGUUUUAAACACUAUUCUUAUGGAGGCUAUAUGUGUAUAGAUAGAUAGAUAUACACACAUACAUAUGUGAUUGUACUGUCUACAAUCAAGAAAAAUUUACUUCUUCCUUUCCAGUUUGGAUGUCUUUUUUUCUUUUUCUUGUCUAAUUUUUCUGGCUAGGCACAAAAAAAUAAAUAAAUAAACAAAUAAAAAACAAUAGCCUGGGAACCUCCGUAUGCCGUAGGAAGUGGCCCUAGAGAAAAAAAAAGGCAAAAAGACAAAAAAUAAAAAUAAAAA
rnacentral:lncRNA from 1 species